AUGACCUCCACUAGCAACAACUUCCUCACAACAACCACCUCUGAAGGUACACCCUCCACUAACUCACCUCUUCUUUCUACAACCCCUGGAAGUGUACCCUCCAUCACCACAGAACCAUCUCUCACCUCUGGAGGUACAGCAAGCACCGGCAUGAAUUCUGAUACAAUCACCUCCAAAGUCCCACAACAAACCAGUACUGAAGAUACAACAGCCACCACUAAACCACUCACAGUUACCUCCGUUACUAGCCAAACAUUAUCUAUCUUAGGAAGCACAGCGGCCACCAUCACCUUCAGUGCCACAAAUGCCAAAAACACCGUCUUUCCCACAAGCCCAUCAGGAGGCAAAUCAACCGUCACUCGCUCUGACAUCAACACAAGCAAUGCCAUAUCAGCAACUUCAACUUCUGUCAAUGCUUUAAAUACAGGAACCAACUCUGCCCCCUCUACAGUUGGUUCAACAGGUGGUAUGGCUGCCUCAGAAACCCCAAUGGCAAGUACAACUCUGCAAACUUCAGCUUCCUCAGCAUCUGCGAUGUCUACCAUGACUUCAAGCUCAACAGACAGCAUGACCACAAUGAAGGCACCCGUGUCGUCAAACAUUUCAUCCAUGAACAUGAUAUACUGUCCGUCAUUCUCCUGUAACAACUCUGACUGCUACGCAAUGUACAUGAGUCAAAACGCCACGCAAUGUGCUCCGGGUGCAUACUGUCAACUGACAAGGCCGAAUGAAUUGUGCUACAUUGUUGGCUGCAGCGCUUCUUGUUCCGAAAGCUGUGGAAACUCAUCGCAAGUCAACUGUACGGUGAAAUGCUGCAAUUACACCGGCUGCAUGAAUGACAGCUUCACGGACUUGAUAAUAACGACCACCACAGUUAUCACACCAACAGUGACCACACCAGUGCCUCCAACCACCAGUGCACCCACUACAGCCGACAAGAAUAAAAAGUGUCAAAACGGGACGUGCACAGGCAGCACCUGCUACACAGACUUCCCGAACAAAGCUCUCCAAUCAUGUUCCUCCAAACAUCCUCACUGUCAGCUGAAAAAGGAAACAGUGGGCUCCACCACCCAAUGGAGCGCAGGGUGCACAAACUGCACCGUCUACACAGCGUGCAAACAGUCGACGGCUCCACCGUGUAAUAUGGAGUGUUGCAACGCCACCAUGACCUCGUCCUGCCUGUGGCUCAACGGGACCCUGAACGUCCCUUCUUUGGCCACGAAAUGUGACGUUCAUUCAGAAACCAUUGCUUGCUUACUUUGUCUGCUUGUCGUCUCUUUGCUGAUCUGAGGGACUGGAGAUGUGCAUGCUUACAUGUCCUCUUUAGCAUGGGUUCUCAACCUUGGGGUCACUGUCCCAUUUGUGGUCACAAAACACUGGGAAGGGGUCGUCAGAUGCCUUCAAGAAUCGAGGAAUAUUUUUUGAGGCCAUUUUUGCUUAUCUUUUUUACCCUUUUUCUGCAACUACACCAAACUCACCAUAUUUUAACCUAUUGUCAUCACUUUUUCUUGCCAUAUUUUUGCUACAUUUCUCUACUCAUUUCUACCACUUCUCCAUCAAAUUUUAAUAGAUUUUCUGUAACUUUUUUCAACUGACAAGACAUUUUCAGCACUUAUAAACCCUUUCCACCACAUUUUUUCACCUAAUGUCACAUAGGUUUACUCAUUUUUACCACUUUUCACCAUAUAACAUGCUCAUUUUUGUCAAUUUAACCACAUUCACAAUUUGUCACACCCAAUAUUGGCCAGUUUAAACUAAUUUUUCCUACUUUUUCUGUCUGUUUUUUGGCCACUUCAAUUUUGCAACUUUUAACCAAUUUCUGUGGUUUUUAAAAUCCCAUUUCACCACCUUUUCCACCACUUUUGGUCACUUUUAACCCAUUUUACUUCUGAUUAAAACAAGAAUUUUGUCCUUAAGAUUGACUAAUUAUUGACUAUCUACUAUGGUACAAAUAAUAAUACACUUCUUGGAUAACUGUGGAUAUUAUUCAGAUAAAUAGAUAAAUGUGGUUAUCACAGUUUGGGGGGGUGGGCUAAAAAGGUUGAGAACCACUGCUCUGUAGCAACAUGGAGCAUUAAAGACCGUACAUUCGUGAAAGUUUGCUUCAAACUAUAAAUUCUUUUCAAUAUGUUGAUUAAGUUUUAUUAUUAGUUUUUAGCUUUAUUUAUUUAUUCUAGAAGAGUUGUGAAUGGGUUUAAAAUCCUGAAUUUACCAGAAGAAACUAAGUCUGUUCACAGCUGCAAUAAGAUAAACAUCUAAGAGCCACGAGUUAUUAAAAAUCUCCAAAUAUAAUUUACAAAUAUAGUGGUUGACACUUGAAGGAAGGCCUCUGGGGUUUUGAUUUCUAAAGUGGGGGUGUGGUGUGGGACAUGUUCUCUGAUUUACUCCCACAGACUCAAAAAGAAUGAUCCCAAACCUGCAUGAAACUCAUUUUAGUCCAGGGACUACAUAAAACGCUGUGAUUUGCUACAUGAAUAUGCCCUUAUUUAAACAAUUUCACAUGCUUUGGGUUUUCUAACAUGCAAAGUAUUCACUUUGGGCCUGUACUACGAAGCUGGAUAAGUAUAUCCUGGGAUAUAUUUAUGUUAGCAAGCUUCACCUAACCAAACGGUCUCUGUCACAAAGCGCCCGUACUACGAAGGAGGACAUAAACACGUUCUGGCUACGUGCACGGGGUGGAGAUUGCAGCGUCAGACCAAUCACAACCACAGAGAAACUCUGCAGACUUACGUCACAAUUGAGGAAUAAUUCUUUAAAAAUGUGAACAAUUAAAAUCCAUAAUUCAGACCGAAAACAACACUGUUGCUGCAGAAAAAGCAGGAAGGAAGUAAUACAGCACACAGGGAAUAAAUCCUGGAAAUUAGAGCGAUAAGAGGAAAUC
ensembl:lncRNA mucin-5AC-like